rnacentral:rRNA from 1 species
GAUGAACGCUGGCGGCGUGCUUAACACAUGCAAGUCGAACGGAAAGGCUCCUGCUUGCAGGGGUACUCGAGUGGCGAACGGGUGAGUAACACGUGGGUGAUCUGCCCUGCACUUCGGGAUAAGCCUGGGAAACUGGGUCUAAUACCGGAUAGGACGAUGGUUUGGAUGCCAUUGUGGAAAGUUUUUCGGUGUGGGAUGAGCUCGCGGCCUAUCAGCUUGUUGGUGGGGUAAUGGCCUACCAAGGCGUCGACGGGUAGCCGGCCUGAGAGGGUGUACGGCCACAUUGGGACUGAGAUACGGCCCAGACUCCUACGGGAGGCAGCAGUGGGGAAUAUUGCACAAUGGGCGCAAGCCUGAUGCAGCGACGCCGCGUGGGGGAUGACGGCCUUCGGGUUGUAAACUCCUUUCGCUAGGGACGAAGCGCAAGUGACGGUACCUGGAGAAGAAGCACCGGCGAACUACGG